rnacentral:miRNA from 1 species
AUACAGGCUGCCCAGUUACACUUGAACUUCAGAUAUUCAGUGGUUUAUUUAAUAUGUGACAUGCAACAUUUGGAACAUACUUAUGCUAAAAAAUUAUUUGUCAUUUAUCUGAAAUUCAAUUUUAACUGGGCAUCCUAUAUUUU